AAGAUCAAGGUGCGGCCCGUAAAUGUUGAGAUCAAGAUCAAGCUCAAGAUGUGUGUGUAUCUCUCCUCCGUCAUGUUUUCCGCCUAUCUCGCCGUCUCAGCUGUCUUGCAGCCCCCUGGCUCGCCACACAGUUUCAGUCAUGAACUUUGUGGGAAAGCAUGUGAGUAAGGAAUGAGGACGGCUAGGCAGGCUGGGUGGUCCCCGCAGCCAGCCUGAUAGUAUCCACACCACUCCACUCUCCCUUGUUUCCACCAAGGGAGGCAGUGCACCACAUCUCACACAGGACGUGCUGCACCUAUGGCGUGGUGUUGAGGGCCUCUUUCUAUCCCUGUCCAGCACGUUAUUGACACAGCACAAGAAGAUGCUUCAGGGUUUCAAAAAGGGAGUGGCACACACACUUUGCUGCACUCCAAGCUUUUGGAGGUCCAGCAGCACACACUGCACACUGCUUUAAAAAAUGUGUGUGCAGAGUGCAAGACAGAGAGUGGAAAGUAGUGCACACAGUUGUAGCAAAUGGAUUAUAUGUCAUCAUUCAUAUUCAUAGAUUUCAUGACAUAACAUCGUGUUGACUUUUGUGCAUCAACUCACUUCAUUAUAUGUAAGCAUAUAUUUAGCCACAAGGAGUAAUGGUUUAUGAAGUUCGUAAUGCAUAAAAAGUGACAUAUAAGAGAUCUUGCAUUAUGAAGAUUUGUUUAAAGGUGUUUGUCUAUUAGCACAAUCUAGUUGUGUCAGUCUUAACAGUCCAGAUUGUACAGACAUGAACCAUUGACCAUUGCACUCCCUGCAGAUGGACUUUCAGUCAACACUGCAAGGUGUGUGUGUGUGCAGCUUUGUGGGCAAAUGUGCCAGUCAUUCCUUUAUGUCAGUGUCUUUCAUUUAGAGGGAAAAUAAUGUGUAUAAUUAGGUUUAUAUACAUUUUUGAGUGAGAAUAUUUAGACUGAUUAAAUAGUAAGUUUCUCAGCUUUCUAGAGCUUUGCUGUUACUGUUCUGUGUAAGAUUUUAGUGGCCGUAUUCUACAAAGCAUCAUAGCUAGACAAAAUGGUGCAUUUUAGACAGAAGUCCCUUUAUGGGGACUCUAACCUUGUGACUCAUCAUAAGUACCAAGACAGGGUUCACUUUGCCGUAGCGCCGCCAACCACCAUCUUAAAACUCUUGUCAACGUGGUGGAAACUUGGCUGUAUGUACCUUAGCAUGAUCCCUUGUGGCCUUCUUGUGUCAUGUGUAAUCUUCUGUUUGUCAUGUUUCUUUUGUUUGGAUAUACAGUAACUAUUCCCAUAGUAGUAAUAUGAUGUCAAAAUAAUUUAAAUUGUAGAAAAUUAUGUCUAGGAGCCAUUUCUUUCUUUACCUAUAUAAAAUUGACAAAUAAUGACCAUUAAUAAGACCAACAGUGGAGUAAUAGUCAGGCAUUCAGUGAGAGCUGAGGCUAACUGUGUAGAGUGUGGUCCCAGAAUGAUGGUUUGUGUUUUUAUAUUCACGGUGACAAUAUAGUGUUGCAAGGGACAACAUGCUGUUUGAGAGCUAUACCAUAGUAAAAUACUUCAAGAAUAAUUUUACAGAGUUGAUAGUUCCUCCUAGAUUUUUGCAAUGAAAAUGGUCUCAAAAUACUUUUAAAACUUGUCUUGUGCAAUGAAAAUGCUCUCUAAGUACUACUCUUAUGUUCUUGUAUUCAUUUUAGACAAAUGUAUGGAUGGCAAUGAUAGGCGGAAUGAGGUAGACCUGCUCAUACUUGAAAAUGUAAAAAAUUGUAAAAUAUUUUUCAAAUUCUGCUAUUCCCCCCAAGUUGAAAAUUGCAUAAACUAUCAUAAAACAUGAAAAUCAUCCAAAAUUGUACAAAUUCUGCUUCCACUGUAAAAAAAAUUAUUCUAAGUUGAAAGUAUGUAGAAAUUAGUCAAAAAUUUUGUCUAAGUUGAAAUUCUAAGUUGAAAGUAUGUAAAAAUUAUUCUAAGUCGAAAAUUGUAAAAAUUGUAAGUUGAAAGUAUGUAAAAAAAAUUAUUCUAAGUUGAAAGUAUGUAAAAAUUAGUCAAAAAUUUUGUCUAAGUUGAAAUUCUAAGUUGAAAGUAUGUAAAAAUUAUUCUAAGUCGAAAAUUGUAAACAUUGUAAGUUGAAAGUAUGUAAAAAUUUUCUAAGUCGAAAAUUUUGGUAGAGUUUAAGAGACUUUAUAAAAGUGUUGAUUGUAUCAAGUUAAAAAUGUAAAAAUUGUCCUACCGAAAAUUGCUUUAAGUCAAUGUGAAAAUUUUGGUAGUUUUCAGACUACAAAUAUGUGUUGAUUGUAUCAAUUGACUGACAAUUUUUACAUUUUAACUUAUUUCUCUGAAAAUUAAUUCCAUCAGUGAAAAUUUGGGUAGUUUUCAGAGGCUGUGUCAAUUGAAUAAUAAUAAAGAAGGAAGGGAGACUC